GAGGGACCACCUCGAUUGAUUGUGUUCUGAGGAGGAGCAAAGUUCCCAGGAGGAAAUCCAUACGAGGGUGAAGAAGAAGCCAUGGGAGGGUAUAAUGUGGCGCUCGGGCCUCUCACUCCUUGUACAUGAGGAGGAGGAGGAGGAGGUGGAGGGUGAGGAUAAUAAUGGUCCCUCGGAGGAUACAUGAAUGCUGUAGGGUUUCUACUACUAAACUCUAUGGAACCAGCUACAAAAGUUCAUUCAAAAGAUACAUAAUCAAGAUUAUUACAGUUCAAAGCUUCAAAAAAGAGAUAAUGGGUGGGUAGGUACCGUGCAUGUAAGGUGGGUGAGGCCAAAACGAGGGUGAACCAUCAGGCCUGCCAUGGUGUUGGUCGUACCAGAUUGAGCCAGGAGGUGGGAAAGGAUGAUGACCAGGAUAGCUCCCUUGAAUGAAGCUAUUAGGAGCAUGAGGAGGAGGAGGAGGAGGAAGAACAGGGUUCAUCGGUCUGCUCCUUGGGCCUCCAAAAGGAGCUAUUGUCUCAGGUGUAUUGUUGAAUGGAGCUGCUAAAGUACUUAAAGACUGAUGAUUCAUCACUGGUAUUCCUUCGGCGUUCUUUC
rnacentral:lncRNA from 1 species